GACGAACGCUGGCGGCGUGCUUAACACAUGCAAGUCGAACGCUGAAGCUCAGCUUUUGUUGGGUGGAUGAGUGGCGAACGGGUGAGUAACACGUGAGUAACCUGCCUCCUUCUUUGGGAUAACGCCCGGAAACGGGUGCUAAUACUGGAUAUUCACUGGUCUUCGCAUGGGGGUUGGUGGAAAGGGUUUUUCUGGUGGGGGAUGGGCUCGCGGCCUAUCAGCUUGUUGGUGGGGUGAUGGCCUACCAAGGCUUUGACGGGUAGCCGGCCUGAGAGGGUGACCGGUCACAUUGGGACUGAGAUACGGCCCAGACUCCUACGGGAGGCAGCAGUGGGGAAGAUUGCACAAUGGGCGCAAGCCUGAUGCAGCGACGCCGCGUGAGGGAUGGAGGCCUUCGGGUUGUGAACCUCUUUCGCUCGUGGUCAAGCCGCAACAAUGGUUGUGGUGAGGGUAGUGGGUAAAGAAGCGCCGGCUAACUACGUG
rnacentral:rRNA from 1 species